rnacentral:rRNA from 1 species
GACGAACGCUGGCGGCGUGCUUAACACAUGCAAGUCGAACGGAAAGGCCCUGCUUGCAGGGUACUCGAGUGGCGAACGGGUGAGUAACACGUGGGUGAUCUGCCCUGCACUUCGGGAUAAGCCUGGGAAACUGGGUCUAAUACCGGAUAGGAGCCAUUUUUAGUGUGAUGGUUGGAAAGUUUUUUCGGUGUAGGAUGAGCUCGCGGCCUAUCAGCUUGUUGGUGGGGUAAUGGCCUACCAAGGCGGCGACGGGUAGCCGGCCUGAGAGGGUGGACGGCCACAUUGGGACUGAGAUACGGCCCAGACUCCUACGGGAGGCAGCAGUGGGGAAUAUUGCACAAUGGGCGCAAGCCUGAUGCAGCGACGCCGCGUGGGGGAUGACGGCCUUUGGGUUGUAAACUCCUUUCGCUAGGGACGAAGCUUUUUGUGACGGUACCUAGAUAAGAAGCACCGGCUAACUACGUG